rnacentral:rRNA from 1 species
UACGUAGGUGGCAAGCGUUGUCCGGAAUUACUGGGCGUAAAGGGCUCGUAGGCGGCCAACUAAGUCAUACGUGAAAUCCCUCAGCUUAACUGGGGAACUGCGUGUGAUACUGGAUGGCUUGGAUUUGGGAGAGGGAUGCGGAAUUCCAGGUGUAGCGGUGAAAUGCGUAGAUAUCUGGAGGAACACCGGUGGCGAAGGCGGCAUCCUGGACCAAUAUUGACGCUGAGGAGCGAAAGCCAGGGGAGCAAACGGG